rnacentral:rRNA from 1 species
AACGAACGCUGGCGGCAUGCCUAACACAUGCAAGUCGAACGAAGCCUUCGGGCUUAGUGGCGCACGGGUGCGUAACGCGUGGGAAUCUGCCCUUGGGUUCGGAAUAACAGUUAGAAAUGACUGCUAAUACCGAAUGAUGUCUUCGGACCAAAGAUUUAUCGCCCAAGGAUGAGCCCGCGUCGGAUUAGCUAGUUGGUGGGUAAAAGCCUACCAAGGCGACGAUCUUUAGCUGGUCUGAGAGGAUGAUCAGCCACACUGGGACUGAGACACGGCCCAGACUCCUACGGGAGGCAGCAGUGGGGAAUAUUGGACGAUGGGCGAAAGCCUGAUCCAGCAAUGCCGCGUGAGUGAUGAAGGCCCUAGGGUUGUAAAGCUCUUUUACCAGGGAUGAUAAUGACAGUACCUGGAGAAUAAGCUCCGGCUAACUCCGUGCCAGCAGCCGCGGU